GGCCUUGGAGCUUGACAGGUAAAACACUCCUCUCAAACAGGAUCCGGGUUCAAAUCCCAGUGGGGCCA